AGUUUGAUCCUGGCUCAGAAUCAACGCUGGCGGCGUGCCUAACACAUGCAAGUCGAGCGAGAAAGGGAGCUUCGGUUCCCAAGUAAAGCGGCGGACGGGUGAGUAACACGUGGGUAAUCUGCCCUCGGGUGGGGAAUAACUCAGGGAAACCUGGGCUAAUUCCGCAUGAUAUUUCCGAUACUCAAGUAUUGGAAAUCAAAGCUGGGGACCCUUCGGGGCCUGGCGCCUGAGGAGGAGCCCGCGGCCAAUUAGCUUGUUGGUGGGGUAAUGGCCCACCAAGGCUUCGAUUGGUAGCCGGCCUGAGAGGGCGGACGGUCACACUGGGACUGAGACACGGCCCAGACUCCUACGGGAGGCAGCAGUGGGGAAUUUUUGUCAAUGGGGGAAACCCUGAACAAGCAACGCCGCGUGGAGGACGAAGACCCUCGGGUUGUAAACUCCUGUCGGAGGGGACGAAUGUGCCGGUGGUUAAUACCCAUCAGUAUUGACGGUACCCUACGAGGAAGCCCCGGCUAACUCCGUGCCAGCAGCCGCGGUAAUACGGGGGGGGCAAGCGUUGUUCGGAAUUACUGGGCGUAAAGGGCGCGUAGGCGGACCAGACAGUCUCUCGUGAAAUCCCACGGCUCAACCGUGGAACUGCGGGAGAUACUACUGGUCUUGAGUUCGGGAGAGGAGUGUGGAAUUCCCAGUGUAGCGGUG
rnacentral:rRNA from 1 species